rnacentral:rRNA from 1 species
CAGUCGACGGUAACAUUUCUAGCUUGCUAGAAGAUGACGAGUGGCGGACGGGUGAGUAAUGCUUGGGAACUUGCCUUUGCGAGGGGGAUAACAGUUGGAAACGACUGCUAAUACCGCAUAAUGUCUUCGGACCAAACGGGGCUUCGGCUCCGGCGCAAAGAGAGGCCCAAGUGAGAUUAGCUAGUUGGUAAGGUAACGGCUUACCAAGGCGACGAUCUCUAGCUGUUCUGAGAGGAAGAUCAGCCACACUGGGACUGAGACACGGCCCAGACUCCUACGGGAGGCAGCAGUGGGGAAUAUUGCACAAUGGGGGAAACCCUGAUGCAGCCAUGCCGCGUGUGUGAAGAAGGCCUUCGGGUUGUAAAGCACUUUCAGUUGUGAGGAAAAGUUAGUAGUUAAUACCUGCUAGCCGUGACGUUAACAACAGAAGAAGCACCGGCUAACUCCGUGCCAGCAGCCGCGGUAAUACGGAGGGUGCGAGCGUUAAUCGGAAUUACUGGGCGUAAAGCGCACGCAGGCGGUUUGUUAAGCUAGAUGUGAAAGCCCCGGGCUCAACCUGGGAUGGUCAUUUAGAACUGGCAGACUAGAGUCUUGGAGAGGGGAGUGGAAUUCCAGGUGUAGCGGUGAAAUGCGUAGAUAUCUGGAGGAACAUCAGUGGCGAAGGCGACUCCCUGGCCAAAGACUGACGCUCAUGUGCGAAAGUGUGGGUAGCGAACAGGAUUAGAUACCCUGGUAGUCCACACCGUAAACGCUGUCUACUAGCUGUGUGUGCCUUUA